rnacentral:rRNA from 1 species
UACAGAGGUCUCAAGCGUUGUUCGGAUUCAUUGGGCGUAAAGGGCGCGUAGGCGGCUCGCUAAGUCGGAUGUGAAAACUCUGGGCUCAACCCAGAGCCUGCAUUCGAAACUGACGAGCUCGAGUUCUGGAGGGGAAAGCGGAAUUCCUGGUGUAGCGGUGAAAUGCGUAGAUAUCAGGAGGAACACCGGUGGCGAAGGCGGCUUUCUGGACAGAAACUGACGCUGAUGCGCGAAAGCUAGGGGAGCAAACAGG